rnacentral:misc_RNA from 1 species
GUGAAUCAUCAAAUUUUUGAACGCAAAUUGCACUCCCUGGUAUUCCGGGGGGUAUGCCUGUUUGAGGGUCGUUAGAAUAAAAAAUCGAUGCGUCGCUCUUUUUUGUAAGUGUGACCGCGUCGGCGUUGAGCCGUCUUUCAAAUGUUAGUUCAUGUCAAGGUGGCUUGAAAGUCAUCCAUCCUGUACGCUUCA